rnacentral:tRNA from 1 species
AGAGCUAUAGGUUAAAUUUUAAACCUUUGACCUUCAAAGUCAGCAAUAGUAUGUAAUGCUUGGUUCUG